AGCCAUUACGUGCGAGAUCACUAUAUUUUCUCGUAACAUAUAUAUUACGACGUUUUGUACCUACCUUUGAGCUUUGUGAAAACUUUUCACAUAUUUCCUGGGGUUCUAUAUCUGCUCGAGUUUGUUCGUUUUUAUAUUCGCUUUUGUACGGCGAUGGACGGUUUUAAAUUACUCGAAACAUCUGAGUUAUCUUCUGCAGCAUACCAACCGAAUGAUAUACUUAACA